GACGAACGCUGGCGGCGUGCUUAACACAUGCAAGUCGAACGGAAAGACCCUGCUUUUGUGGGGUGCUCGAGUGGCGAACGGGUGAGUAACACGUGAGUAACCUGCCCUUGACUUUGGGAUAACUUCAGGAAACUGGGGCUAAUACCGGAUAGGAGCUCCUGCCGCAUGGUGGGGGUUGGAAAGUUUCGGCGGUUGGGGAUGGACUCGCGGCUUAUCAGCUUGUUGGUGGGGUAGUGGCUUACCAAGGCUUUGACGGGUAGCCGGCCUGAGAGGGUGACCGGCCACAUUGGGACUGAGAUACGGCCCAGACUCCUACGGGAGGCAGCAGUGGGGAAUAUUGCACAAUGGGCGGAAGCCUGAUGCAGCAACGCCGCGUGCGGGAUGACGGCCUUCGGGUUGUAAACCGCUUUCGCCUGUGACGAAGCGUGAGUGACGGUAAUGGGUAAAGAAGCACCGGCUAACUACGU
rnacentral:rRNA from 1 species